GUGAGGAAUAUUGGUCAAUGGGCGGGAGCCUGAACCAGCCAAGUCGCGUGAAGGAAGAAGGAUCUAUGGUUCGUAAACUUCUUUUGCAGGGGAAUAAAGUGCAGGACGUGUCCUGUUUUGUAUGUACCCUGAGAAUAAGGAUCGGCUAACUCCGUGCCAGCAGCCGCGGUAAUACGGAGGAUCCGAGCGUUAUCCGGAUUUAUUGGGUUUAAAGGGUGCGUAGGUGGUUUGAUAAGUCAGCGGUGAAAGUUUGCAGCUUAACUGUAAAAAUGCCGUUGCAACUGUCGGACUUGAGUGUAAAUGAGGUAGGAGGAAUGCGUGGUGUAGCGGUGAAAUGCAUAGAUAUCACGCAGAACUCCGAUUGCGAAGGCAGCUUACUAAGCUACAACUGACACUGAAGCACGAAAGCGUGGGGAUCAAACAGGAUUAGAAACCCUGGUAGUCC
rnacentral:rRNA from 1 species